CCAGGAGGCCGGGUGGCCGCUUGUCCGCUUUCGCGGGUGAGAGGAACGUCCGAGCUCCACCGGGCAAGGGUGCCGGGUAACACCCGGGCGGGGCGACCCGACGGAAAGUGCCACAGAAACAUACCGCCUUGGGCUCAACAGGGCCGUGAGGUCCUGGCAAACUCCCCGGUUCGCCGGGGUGGCCCAAGGUAAGGGUGAAAUGGUGCGGUAAGAGCGCACCGGCGCCCUCAGUGAUGGGGGCGCCGGGCAAACCCCACCCGGAGCAAGGCCAAAUAGGAGGGCAAGCCCGAUUCGUCGGGCAGGGGCGCCCGGCCCCGUCCUCGGGUAGGCCGCUAGAGCCCGCCGGUAACGUCGGGCCCAGAUAGAUGGUCACCGCCCCGGCUUGCCGGGGUACAGAACUCGGCGUAUAGGCCGCCUGGCUCC
rnacentral:RNase_P_RNA from 1 species